UACGUAGGGUGCAAGCGUUGUCCGGAAUUAUUGGGCGUAAAGAGCUUGUAGGCGGUUUGUCGCGUCUGCUGUGAAAUUUCGGGGCUCAACCCCGAACUUGCAGUGGGUACGGGCAGACUAGAGUGUGGUAGGGGAGACUGGAAUUCCUGGUGUAGCGGUGAAAUGCGCAGAUAUCAGGAGGAACACCGAUGGCGAAAGCAGGUCUCUGGGCCAUAACUGACGCUGAGAAGCGAAAGCAUGGGGAGCGAACAGG
rnacentral:rRNA from 1 species